GCCUCGGUAGCAUAGACCGGUCAAUGCGCUCGCCUCGUAAGCGAGAGAUCGCGGGUCCAAAUCCCGCCCGAGGCU
rnacentral:tRNA from 1 species